AGUAAAUAUAAUAAGAGCAUUUGGUGGAUGCCUUGGCAUUAGAAGGCGAUGAAGGACGUAAUACGCUACGAUAACCGUUUUGAAUAACUCUUUCACUUAUCAUCCUAAAAAAGCCGAAUGGGGAAACC
rnacentral:rRNA from 1 species